rnacentral:rRNA from 1 species
CCUACGGGAGGCAGCAGUGGGGAAUAUUGCACAAUGGGCGAAAGCCUGAUGCAGCGACGCCGCGUGAGGGAUGACGGCCUUCGGGUUGUAAACCUCUUUCAGCAGGGAAGAAGCGAAAGUGACGGUACCUGCAGAAGAAGCGCCGGCUAACUACGUGCCAGCAGCCGCGGUAAUACGUAGGGCGCAAGCGUUGUCCGGAAUUAUUGGGCGUAAAGAGCUCGUAGGCGGCUUGUUGCGUCGGUUGUGAAAGCCCGGGGCUUAACCCCGGGUCUGCAGUCGAUACGGGCAGGCUAGAGUGUGGUAGGGGAGAUCGGAAUUCCUGGUGUAGCGGUGAAAUGCGCAGAUAUCAGGAGGAACACCGGUGGCGAAGGCGGAUCUCUGGGCCAUUACUGACGCUGAGGAGCGAAAGCGUGGGGAGCGAACAGGAUUAGAUACCCUGAUAGUCCACGCCGUAAACGUUGGGAACUAGGUGUUGGCGACAUUCCACGUCGUCGGUGCCGCAGCUACGCAUUAAGUUCCCCGCCUGGGGAGUACGGCCGCAAGGCUAAACUCAAAGGAAUUGACGG